rnacentral:rRNA from 1 species
AAUCCCAAGUGNUGGCAUUUAACUCGUGUGUUUAUGUGUAUAAAACAUAUGGUGAUAAGGGCCGGGAAAGACCGGUGUGCAACCGGCGGCGUUAAUACGUGCAGCUGAAUUAUUAACAAUUAUUAUGGGGCUUAAAAGKUCGUUAGCCGUUUUAUUAAAUGYUUGGGWAAAUUGUGAGGUUWAAUGUUAGGAUUUCSGGGUAUACUGUUAGACUUGGGACCGGGAGAGGUUAGAGGUACUCCUGGGGUAGGGGUGAAAUUUUGUAAUCCUUGGGGGACCACCAGUGGCGAAGGCGUCUAGCUAGAACGGGUNNNNNGGUGAGGGACGAARCCUUGGGGCGCGAACCGGAUUAGAUACCCGGGUAGUCCAGGGUGUAAACGAUGCUUGCUWGAGUGUUAGKUGGGCUCCGAGCCCDWUURGUGUCGGAGAGAAGUUGUUAAGCAA